AUUUGUGUAAUUUCAGUUACACCUUGCAAUUUUUAAUUCAAAAGUGAUUUCUGCAAAUCUGCAAAAAGGACAUUUUGGCUGUUUACACGGGAAAGUAGAUUUUCGAUGACAGCAAAAUGCGUAGAAAAAGCACUUGCAUUGACACGUUUAACCGGACCUUAAGGCUGAUUAUUUUUACUUGGUACUAGUAUUAUAAUAAUAACGAAAAUGUCUUACAUGAAUCAGUUCAACUGGGUGUUAGUAUAAUAAAAAGAGCAAAUAUUUCUUAUGUAUAUAUAACCUUAUUUUUAGUUUAGAUACUUUUUGUACUUUUAGAACUUAGAAUUAAAAUUGUUUAAUAAUUUUUAAGGCAUUUCGAAAUCACUAUGCAUUCCACCAUUGGCGAAGUGAAGCGACUUGUUCUAUUUGUUGUGAUCAAAUUCAGCUCUGAGAAAAUGCGCUCUGCAGCGGCAGAGUAGUGCGGAUAACAUAACAAGUUUAAAAUAAAAGUUAAUUCGAAAUAUAAAAAAGUUAUUUAAAG